AGAAAAUCAUGUAUAUGUUUUUGAGUGAUUAUCAUUUUGAUGUGUUUAGAUCAACAUUCUGCCCUGUUGAAUUCCCACAUUUCUUCUCUCCUCCAGGACUGCCACUGCAGUCUUUAUCACACAAACAGUUUACAGGGAUGGAAAAGCACAGCACUUAAGAUUCAGAGUCUCAGUCCUUUAAAGUGCUUAGAUAUAUUUUCUAAUGAUGAAAUGUGGUUGAAUCUUGUGAAAACAUCGUUCAAAUGUAUAAAUAUAGCAUUUUUAGCUCUACGUGGAUCUCUUUUCUGCUUCUUGUUUGUAUAUAUGCCAAAUAAGUUUACCCAUGGUAAUGCUUGUGGAACCAUGAAGUUUAGGCAAAGUACACAGUAUUUGUACUAGGUGAACUUCAAUUUUAAAAUAGCAGGUAUUAACACUAGGAACAGAUUAUUAUGAUUAAACAGCUCACAAAUACAAAUAUAUGUGGUCAAUGCUAUUAUGUGGAAUAACUGAACUUUGAGAGGGUAGGAUAAUUGCAAUAACCUGUCUAUCAUACAUCCCAGAAAUAAUGGGGAAAUUUUUUCAAGGAGUAGUGUUGAAUAAUCAGUGAAUUAAAAUCUGAUUCCAGAUGAGAACAAGAAGAGAUCUAUUGUCUACUUCAGCAGUUUCUUGUGAUGAGGGUCUGUGCUGAAAAUGCGGAAGAAAUCUUUCCCUAUUAUUUUUAAAUGCAUUUGCUAUGGUACUCUAGACACAUCCUCGCAUAUUCUACUGCAAAUUACCAAAAGAUGUAUUUGUACCUAUUUCUUGCUUGAAUGGACAACCAAAACAUAUUUUUGGUAUGAGACAGUAGCUAUAUUGGUAUUCCAGGUGCCAUCAGAAGAUGGGUUUGAAGAGGCCUGUCAACUACUGAAGAAGUUUAACUGUGGUCACACAGAACUGUGGGAUAUUUUACUCUACAUCUCUGUGAACUGCAGAGAAAAUGCUUCUGGCAAUUGAUCUCAGUUAAAGUUGACUUGAGCAUCUCUAAGCUAUGGCAGUGUGUGUCUAAUCAUACUCUGCGGUCACUAAAAAUCUACCAGUAUUUGGUAGGACACUUCAAAAGAGCAUGGAAUACUUCAUUCCUUGGCCAGUAGCCAUCAUGUCUCAGUACUUAAACCUAUGUGCAGCUCUGUUGUUUUUGUUCACAUGGGGCUAGCAAGUGUUUGUUCUGGUUCGAGUCCAUAAAGUUUGCACAUUUGAGUUUCAGUUUGAGGUUUUGAGUUCAGUGAAACAUCAAGUCUUGCCUGGCUUUUGGGUUGAAACCUCAAGCCUAAUGAUAAUGUUUUCUCCAGCUGCAGAUUUUGAAGUGAGGGGUCAUUGAAAAACAAACCCCAAGCCCUAAUACUUGCUGAGAACCAUCAAAUGGACCACUCUCUGCAGAAUUUAGCAAUUGUAUUUUUCUGUCAAAAUUAGCAACACUAUUUUACUGAUAUGCACAUUACUGGUGACAUUCUGCUUCAACUGAAGUUAAAGUAUUCCUGUUUUUUCCGUUCCUCCUUCCUGGACAGUGCUGUUUAGUCCUACACAGCGGUGGCAGUUCUUGGGUACAAUACAUGAGAAGUUAAUGGUUUGUGAAACCGUUGGCCAGGUUCUUGUUUAAAUCCUGUUACUUUUGCCCAGUUUAUGCAGUGCCAGUUCUGUGCUUAACCAGUGUGAAGCUCUGCUUGCUUUGAUUUAAGGAUGUGAGCCCCAAAAGGGACUUUUCACAAAGGGUAAAAUGGGUGCUCAAAAGAUGAUUAGAUAACUGGUUGCUAACACUUGAGGUCUUGAUCCCUUUAGCAGUGCAACUCUCCCUCAGUUGGGAUCUAGUGUUUCAUUUUCAGUGAAAUUCAAUGAAUCUUAGACUCAUAGGGGUCUAUGUUAUAGUGGUACUGUACCAAGCAGAUAAUUAGCCAUACAAAGAAGCAUACCAAAUCUGGUUGAAAAGCACCUGAAAAUCAUUCGCCAGUGUUCAGUAGCCUUUAAGGAAUCACAGAAUGGCUUUGGUUGGAAGGGACCUUACAGAUCAUCUAGUUCCAUUCACUCUGCCAUGGGUGCAGUUGCCACCCACUAGAUCAGGGGCUGCCCAGGGUCCCAUCCAACCUGACCAUGAACACUUCCAGGGAUGGGGCACCUACAGCUUCUCUGAGCAGCCUGUGCCAGAACCUCACCACCGUCUGAGUAAAGAAUUUCUUUCCAGUUUCUAAUGUAAAUCUCCCCUCUUUUAAUUUAAAACCAUUCCCCCUUGUCCUGUCACUAUCUGUCCAGGUGAAAAGUUGGCUCCCUGCUGUUUAUAUACUCCCCUCAAGUACUGGAAAACUGCAAUUAGGUCUCCCCAGAGCCUUCUCUUAAGUUGAACAAGCCCAGUUGCCUCAGUCUGUCUUCAUACGAGAUGCGCUCCAGCCUUCUGAUCAUCUUUCUGUGCAUCUUUUUUGUGCUGGGGUCCUUUUGUCCUGGGUGCAGUGCUCCUGGCAGGUCCUUAGGAGAACAGAGCAGAGGUGGACAAUCACCUCCCUCUCCCUGCUGGCCACCCCUCUUUUGAUGCAGCCUAGUAUACAAUUGGCCUUUUGGCCUGCAAGAGCACACUGCUGGAUCAUGUCCAGCUUUUUGUUUGACAGAACCUCCAACUCCUUCUCUGUGGGGCUACUCUCAGCGUGUUCUUUUCCUGUUCUGUACACAUAUCUGGAAUUGUCCCAAACCAAGUGCAGCACUUUUCACUUCACUUAGCUGAAUCUUACUUGGUUCAUGUGAGCCCACUUCUCAAGCUUGUC
ensembl:lncRNA